UACAGAGGGUGCGAGCGUUGUCCGGAAUCACUGGGCGUAAAGGGCGCGUAGGUGGCGACCCAAGUCGAUGGUGAAAGCUCGCCGCUCAACGGCGAGUCGGCCACCGAUACUGGGUUGCUCGAGCACUGUAGAGGCUAAUGGAAUUCCGGGUGUAGCGGUGGAAUGCGUAGAGAUCCGGAAGAACACCGGUGGCGAAGGCGGUUAGCUGGGCAGUUGCUGACACUGAGGCGCGACAGCGUGGGGAGCAAACAGA
rnacentral:rRNA from 1 species